rnacentral:rRNA from 1 species
CCCAUUGAAAACGGGUUGGGAUGAGCUGUGGAUAGGGGUGAAAGGCCAAACAAACUUAGUGAUAGCUGGUUCUCUUCGAAAUAUAUUUAGGUAUAGCCUCAAGUGAUAAUAAAAGGGGGUAGAGCCCUGAUUGGGCUAGGGCUGCUCGCCGCGGUACCAAACCCUAUCAAACUUCGAAUACCUUUUAUCGUAUCUUGGGAGUCAGGCGGUGGGUGAUAAAAUCAAUCGUCAAAAGGGGAACAACCCAGACUACCAAAUAAGGUCCCUAAGUUCUAUUCUGAGUGGAAAAAGAUGUGUGGCUACUCAAACAACCAGGAGGUUGGCUUAGAAGCAGCCAUCCUUUAAAGAAAGCGUAACAGCUCACUGGUCUAGUGGUCAUGCGCUGAAAAUAUAACGGGGCUAAGAUAGACACCGAAUUUGUAGAUUGUGUUAAACACAGUGGUAGAAGAGCGUUCAUACCAGCGUUGAAGGUAUACCGGUAAGGAGUGCUGGAGCGGUAUGAAGUGAGCAUGCAGGAAUGAGUAACGAUAAGAUAUAUGAGAAUUGUAUCCGCCGUAAAUCUAAGGUUUCCUACGCGAUGGUCGUCAUCGUAGGGUUAGUCGGGUCCUAAGCCGAGUCCGAAAGGGGUAGGUGAUGGCAAAUUGGUUAAUAUUCCAAUACCGACUCAUGGAGCGUGAGUGGGGGACGCGAUAGGGUUAAGCGAGCUAGCUGAUGGAAUAGCUAGUCUAAGGGCGUAGAUUGGAGGGAAGGCAAAUCCACCUCUGUAUUUGAAACCCAAACAGGCUCUUUGACUAGCUGAUGGAAUAGCUAGUCUAAGGGCGUAGAUUGGAGGGAAGGCAAAUCCACCUCUGUAUUUGAAACCCAAACAGGCUCUUUGAGUCCUUUUAGGACAAAGGGAGAAUCGCUGAUACCGUCGUGCCAAGAAAAGCCUCUAAGCAUAUCCAUAGUCGUCCGUACCGCAAACCGACACAGGUAGAUGAGAUGAGUAUUCUAAGGCGCGUGAAAGAACUCUGGUUAAGGAACUCUGCAAACUAGCACCGUAAGUUCGCGAUAAGGUGUGCCACAGCGAUGUGGUCUCAGCAAAGAGUCCCUCCCGACUGUUUACCAAAAACACAGCACUUUGCCAACUCGUAAGAGGAAGUAUAAGGUGUGACGCCUGCCCGGUGCUCGAAGGUUAAGAGGAUGCGUCAGUCGCAAGAUGAAGCGUUGAAUUGAAGCCCGAGUAAACGGCGGCCGUAACUAUAACGGUCCUAAGGUAGCGAAAUUCCUUGUCGGUUAAAUACCGACCUGCAUGAAUGGCGUAACGAGAUGGGAGCUGUCUCAACCAGAGAUUCAGUGAAAUUGUAGUGGAGGUGAAAAUUCCUCCUACCCGCGGCAAGACGGAAAGACCCCGUGGACCUUUACUACAACUUAGCACUGCUAACGGGAAUAUCAUGCGCAGGAUAGGUGGGAGGCUUUGAAGUAAGGGCUUUGGCUCUUAUGGAGCCAUCCUUGAGAUACCACCCUUGAUGUUUCUGUUAGCUAACUGGCCUGUGUUAUCCACAGGCAGGACAAUGCUUGGUGGGUAGUUUGACUGGGGCGGUCGCCUCCUAAAAAGUAACGGAGGCUUGCAAAGGUUGGCUCAUUGCGGUUGGAAAUCGCAAGUUGAGUGUAAUGGCACAAGCCAGCCUGACUGUAAGACAUACAAGUCAAGCAGAGACGAAAGUCGGUCAUAGUGAUCCGGUGGUUCUGUGUGGAAGGGCCAUCGCUCAAAGGAUAAAAGGUACCCCGGGGAUAACAGGCUGAUCUCCCCCAAGAGCUCACAUCGACGGGGAGGUUUGGCACCUCGAUGUCGGCUCAUCGCAUCCUGGGGCUGGAGCAGGUCCCAAGGGUAUGGCUGUUCGCCAUUUAAAGCGGUACGCGAGCUGGGUUCAGAACGUCGUGAGACAGUUCGGUCCCUAUCUGCCGUGGGCGUAGGAAAGUUGAGGAGAGCUGUCCCUAGUACGAGAGGACCGGGAUGGACGUGUCACUGGUGCACCAGUUGUUCUGCCAAGAGCAUCGCUGGGUAGCUACACACGGAUGUGAUAACUGCUGAAAGCAUCUAAGCAGGAAGCCAACUCCAAGAUAAACUUUCCCUGAAGCUCGCACAAAGACUAUGUGCUUGAUAGGGUAGAUGUGUGAGCGCAGUAAUGCGUUUAGCUGACUACUACUAAUAGAGCGUUUGGCUUGUUUU